rnacentral:rRNA from 1 species
AGUGAACACUGGCGGUAGGCCUAACACAUGCAAGUCGAACGGCAGCACGGGAGAGCUUGCUCUCUGGGUGGCGAGUGGCGGACGGGUGAGGAAUACAUCGGAAUCUACUCUGUCGUGGGGGAUAACGUAGGGAAACUUACGCUAAUACCGCAUACGACCUACGGGUGAAAGCAGGGGACCUUCGGGCCUUGCGCGAUUGAAUGAGCCGAUGUCGGAUUAGCUAGUUGGCGGGGUAAAGGCCCACCAAGGCGACGAUCCGUAGCUGGUCUGAGAGGAUGAUCAGCCACACUGGAACUGAGACACGGUCCAGACUCCUACGGGAGGCAGCAGUGGGGAAUAUUGGACAAUGGGCGCAAGCCUGAUCCAGCCAUACCGCGUGGGUGAAGAAGGCCUUCGGGUUGUAAAGCCCUUUUGUUGGGAAAGAAAUCCAGCUGGCUAAUACCCGGUUGGGAUGACGGUACCCAAAGAAUAAGCACCGGCUAACUUCGUGCCAGCCGCCGCGGUAA